AUCUUCAUCUGGACCCUCACCCUCUGGACUCAAGGGUCAUUUGGAGACAUAAUUAUGACUCAGACUCCAGGAUCUCAGACUGUUUCACCAGGAGACUCUGUUACCAUCAGCUGCAGAGCCAGUCAGAGCAUCAGCAAUGAUUUAGCCUGGUAUCUGCAGAAACCUGGAGAAGCUCCUAAACUCCUGAUCUAUUAUGCUACUAACCGUCAGUCUGGUGUUCCAGAUCGUUUCAGUGGGAGUGGAUCUGGAUCUGAUUAUUCUCUAAAGAUCAGUGGAGUUCAGUCUGAAGAUGCAGGAGAUUAUUACUGUCAGCAGGGUUAUGACACUCCGUUCACACAGUGUUAGAGCGCAAUACAAAAACCUCCCUCAGCUGUAGAGGAACUGCUCUGACUCAGAAACUCUCACUGAUCUGAGAACAGCUGCUAAAGCUGCACUCAGCUGAACUCAUCAACUCCAAAACACUACAGUAGUG